UGGGGAAUUUUGGACAAUGGGCGAAAGCCUGAUCCAGCAAUGCCGCGUGUGUGAAGAAGGCCUUCGGGUUGUAAAGCACUUUUGUCCGGAAAGAAAUCCUUGGCUCUAAUACAGUCGGGGGAUGACGGUACCGGAAGAAUAAGCACCGGCUAACUACGUGCCAGCAGCCGCGGUAAUACGUAGGGUGCAAGCGUUAAUCGGAAUUACUGGGCGUAAAGCGUGCGCGGAGGCGGUUUGCUAAGACCGAUGUGAAAUCCCCGGGCUCAACCUGGGAACUGCAUUGGUGACUGGCAGGCUAGAGUAUGGCAGAGGGGGGUAGAAUUCCACGUGUAGCAGUGAAAUGCGUAGAGAUGUGGAGGAAUACCGAUGGCGAAGGCAGCUCCCUGGGCCAAUACUGACGCUCAUGCACGAAAGCGUGGGGGAGCAAACAGGAUUAGAUACCCUGGUAGUCCACGCCCUAAACGAUGUCAACUAGUUGUUGGGGAUUCAUUUCCUUAGUAACGUAGCUAACGCGUGAAGUUGACCGCCUGGGGGAGUACGGUCGCAAGAUUAAAACUUAAAUGAAUUGACGGGGUCAU
rnacentral:rRNA from 1 species